rnacentral:rRNA from 1 species
CCCCACUGCUAUCGAGGUGGGACUAAGCCAUGCUAGUUGAGCGCACAGAACUAUGUCUGUGAGCGGCGCACUGCUCAGUAACACGUAGCUAACCUACCCUUAGGACGUGGACAACCCCGAGAAAUUGGGGCUAAUCCGCGAUAGAUGUAUUGUCCUGGAAUGGUAUUACGUCUAAAGGUAUCCCAUACAUGUUUGGUAUACGCCUAAGGAUGGGGCUGCGGCCGAUCAGGCUGUUGGUGAGGUAAUGGCUCACCAAACCUUUGACCGGUACGGGCCAUGAGAGUGGUAGCCCGGAGAUGGACACUGAGACAAGGGUCCAGGCCCUACGGGGCGCAGCAGGCGCGAAACCUCCUCAAUGCACUUACGUGCGAAGGGGCUACCUCGAGUGCCACCUGAUGAAGGUGGCUUUUCCUAGGUCUAAAAAGCCUUGGGAAUAAGAGGGGGGCAAGACUGGUGUCAGCCGCCGCGGUAACACCAGCCCCUCGAGUGGUGGGGAUGAUUAUUGGGCCUAAAGCGUCCGUAGCCUGCCGUGUAAGUUUCCCGUUAAAUCCAGCGUCUCAAGCGUUGGACUGCGGGAAAUACUGUACGGCUAGAGAGUGGGAGAGGUCAGCGGUAUUCUGGGGGUAGGGGCGAAAUCCUUUGAUCCCCGGAGGACCACCAGUGGCGAAGGCUGCUGUCUAGAACACGUCUGACGGUCAGGGACGAAAGCUGGGGUAGCGAACCGGAUUAGAUACCCGGGUAGUCCCAGCCGUAAACGAUGCAUGCUAGGUGUUGGGUUGGCCACGAGCCACCCCAGUGCCGCAGGGAAGCCGUUAAGCAUGCCGCCUGGGAAGUACGAUCGCAAGGUUGAAACUUAAAGGAAUUGGCGGGGGAGCACCACCAGGCGUGAAGCCUGCGGUUUA